GCUGGAGCUGGGAGGGCCCAGCUUUGUGUGUGCAGACGGCACACAAAGGAUGGCAGUGGAGCUGAAAGGCUGCAUCCCAUGGAUCCGUGCCCUGUCUGGAGUGCAGCAGUGAGAGCCAAAUUCCCCGUGCCAGCCCAGUUUGGCACUGCCACACUCCCAGCCAUGCCAGCUCCAGGCUUUCGGGGAGCUCACUGGGUUCACAUGUCCUAAAGGGGCAAAUUCUGUGGGUCCUCUGCAAAGCACUGAUCUCCUUUUCCUUCCUCAGCAGGUGUGGUGGAGGAGAAGGAAAAGACCUGAUUGCUGUGGAGCAAAUUCCCCAUCCAUGGCAUCAUCCAGUGACUGGGACUGGCUGCACCCUCCCAAAAAGCGGCCGAAAGGAAAAGCAAGUGCUUGGUUUGUCAGCCACAUCAACCCCACGGCUGCAGGGGCCAUCUCAAGGACAGGAUGUGAGAGCACCAGGGCUUUGGGAUGCUGCAACAUCACUUUCCUCACUGGAAACAGGCAGCAAGGAAGGUGCCAGUUCCAGGUUUUCACCCUUUAUUAGGAAAUACAAGCAGAGAAGGCCCAGGUAGUCAAUCUGCUCUGCAGAGUGGAGCUGUGGAGGGGAAUUUCUGAUGUCUUGUUAAAAGCUGAGCUCACUCUGCUGCAAUGAGCUCUCCCUUGUCUCUUCCUGGCAUUUUCCAGGAGCAUAUGGGAAUGUGAAAGGUCCGAGCUCUGCCUGCCCUUCACAUUUGGUGGAAGCUGAGAGGAGGCUCAGCCCCACACGCUCCCCCCUCAGCCUCUCCCGAGGAGAGCGGGAUGUAAAAGGAAACUGUUUAUUCUGGAGCCAGCUGAGGGAACAGAAACGCCCCUAAACCCGAGCCUGGCUCAGAGAGGGAUCUUCAGCCAGCCAAUCUUCUGCUUCCAGCACAGCACUGCUGGGGCUGGGAGGUGGGGUGGGCUCAGCCUGUGCUGUGUGUGCAAGUGUGUUCCACAGCUGCCUGUCUCCCCAGUCCUGCUGUCCUGAAAAGUUCUUUUCCUUGUUGACAAUCAGGUUCCCA
rnacentral:lncRNA from 1 species